rnacentral:tRNA from 1 species
GCCUUCGUGGUAUAAUGGUCAGCACACUCGGCGCGUAUUCGAGAUGUCCGUGGUUCGAAUCCCGGUGAGGGUA